rnacentral:rRNA from 1 species
UACAGAGGGUGCAAGCGUUGUUCGGAAUUACUGGGCGUAAAGCGCGUGUAGGUGGCGAUGUAAGUCGGGGGUGAAAUCCCUCAGCUUAACUGAGGAAGUGCACUCGAUACUGUGUCGCUUGAGUGUUGGAGGGGAUGGCGGAAUUCCCGGUGUAGAGGUGAAAUUCGUAGAUAUCGGGAGGAACACCUGUGGCGAAGGCGGCCAUCUGGACAACUACUGACACUGAGACGCGAAAGCGUGGGUAGCAAACAGG